CCUACGGGAGACAGCAGUGAGGAAUAUUGGUCAAUGGACGAGAGUCUGAACCAGCCAAGUCGCGUGAAGGAUGACUGCCCUAUGGGUUGUAAACUUCUUUUAUAUGGGAAUAAAACGUUCCACGUGUGGGAUUUUGUAUGUACCAUAUAAAUAAGGAUCGGCUAAAUCCGUGCCAGCAGCCGCGGUAAUACGGAGGGUCCGAGCGUUAUCCGGAUUUAUUGGGUUUAAAGGGAGCGUAGGGGGAUUGUUAAGUCAGUUGUGAAAGUUUGCGGCUCAACCGUAAAAUUGCAGUUGAAACUGGCAGUCUUGAGUAUAGUAGAGGUGGGCGGAAUGCGUGGUGUAGCGGUGAAAUGCUUAGAUAUCACGAAGAACUCCGAUUGCGAAGGCAGUUCACUGGACUGCAACUGACACUGAGGCUCGAAAGUGUGGGUAUCAAACAGGAUUAGAUACCCCAGUAGUC
rnacentral:rRNA from 1 species